GGAUAACCUACCCUUAGGACUGGGAUAACCCUGGGAAACUGGGGAUAAUACCGGAUAGGCAAUUUUUCCUGGAAUGGUUUUUUGUUUAAAUGUUUUUUCGCCUAAGGAUGGGUCUGCGGCCGAUUAGGUAGUUGGUUAGGUAACGGCUUACCAAGCCAUUGAUCGGUACGGGUUGUGAGAGCAAGAGCCCGGAGAUGGAACCUGAGACAAGGUUCCAGGCCCUACGGGGUGCAGCAGGCGCGAAACCUCCGCAAUGUGAGAAAUCGCGACGGGGGGAUCCCAAGUGCCAUUCUUAACGGGAUGGCUUUUCAUUAGUGUAAAGAGCUUUUGGAAUAAGGGCUGGGCAAGACCGGUGCCAGCCGCCGCGGUAACACCGGCAGCUCUAGUGGUAGCAGUUUUUAUUGGGCCUAAAGCGUCCGUAGCCGGUUUAAUAAGUCUCUGGUGAAAUCCUGUAGCUUAACUGUGGGAAUUGCUGGAGAUACUAUUAGACUUGAGACCGGGAGAGGUUAGAGGUACUCCCAGGGUAGAGGUGAAAUUCUGUAAUCCUGGGAGGACCGCCUGUUGCGAAGGCGUCUAACUGGAACGGUUCUGACGGUGAGGGACGAAAGUUAGGGGCGCGAACCGGAUUAGAUACCCGGGUAGUCCUAACUGUAAACGAUGCGGACUUGGUGUUGGGGUGGCUUUGAGCUGCUCCAGUGCCGAAAGGGAAGCUGUUAAGUCCGCCGCCUG
rnacentral:rRNA from 1 species